AAAAAAAACUACCAGCCCAAUACAAUAUUAUGGAAAGCAAAAUAAUGAACAAAUAAGGACAACACUCAGGCUCGCAGAAGACAACAAAGCUCAGACUUACUCUUGACAUGAAAAUAAGCUAACAUUAGCAGAAAUCUGUAGCUACGAGUCAAACAGAGAAGCAAUCGAAAACCAAAACUACACAGAAGAUAAAACUCACAAUAAAUGAUUCAGGCUGCGCAACAGACAAGCUCAAUACAAAAUCCAAAUAAGUUUUAAACCAUUCCGAGUAGAACAAAGUACAAAAUUAGCCGUUUUCGAAACAAAAUAGGCCCAUAUCAAAGUCAAGAAGCUAAUCCAACAACAUUUCGCUAUUCACACAGCAGUCCGUCACUAUUAACUCAAAAUAAUCGAAGGGAAAGAGAAAGAGCAAAGGAAUAGGUACCUUCUAUGGAGCAGCGAACUCAGACAAACGAGUAGAAGCGAGCGAGUUUAACACCACAAUGAGAACUUUCGAGAGAUUCGACUAAUUCUUCCGCAACCCACAAAGAAUCGAAGAAAAAAAAUGCAUUCGAAGUGUAUUUUCUGGGUGAUCUUUUAUGACCUUGGAAUCCUCUAUAUAAUUUUUGGCCAACUUUUCCC
rnacentral:lncRNA from 1 species